GAUCUCAUCAUAGCACGUCAUUUAGCUGGUAUUACAUUGCAUGUAGUUGCGUAGUGAUCGUCUUGUCGUCUCUAUUUCCAAUACAUUGACCAUCGAUCCAUCCCAAUUUGAUGCACUCACUAGACAAUUAGUGCAACUUGCCACUAGCCUAUCGACUGUCCAAUCAGAUAUAACUGCUACUCGUGAGGAGAGAAAGAACCUAGCUGCUAAGUUGAGCAAUUUUAAGCGAACCCCUCGUUUGACUGACACUAAUUCUGAAGCGUCUCAAAAUAGACAAUAUCAUCGUGGACAAAGUGAUCAAGAAUAUUUUCAACGCGAUCGUAGGAAUAGGGAUCAAGUUCGUGAGCGAGAACAAGGCCAUGGUCAUCAUGGUACUCAUUCUCUUCCUCAUCGUAAGGAGCGUUUCGUUAGAAACAUUGACUUAGAUAUUCCUACUUUCGAUGGUUGCUCAGAUCAUGGAAUUUUUACCCAAUGGAACACCCUUAACAAGGAAAUUGGCUAGUAACUGAGUACAUUACUCAAUUUGAGGAAUUUCGAGUGAAAUGUCACGUCGUUAAGAAUGAGGCCCUGACAUUGAGUAGGUUUAUACAAGGUCUAAGAGAUGAACUGAGGCGUGAGCUUUUCUUUCGAGGUGUCACUACUCUUGAUCACGCUUACUCUUUAGCUCGGGACUACGAGUUACUUAUUAGUACUCCAUAUGAAAAGCGGAGUCACCAUCGUUCACCCAUCUCAUCAGCGCCACCUCAACAUGAGUCUGCCAUAGAACCUUUCCCAUCUAGUGUUCCUCCCAUUUGGGAAAAUAAGUGUAAAGGUCGUGAUAGUCCAAUGCCCUCUUCUCCAUAUAGAAGGCAUAUUGACAAUCAUUUU
rnacentral:lncRNA from 1 species